UACGUAGGUGGCGAGCGUUGUCCGGAUUUAUUGGGUUUAAAGGGUGCGUAGGCGUCCUGACAAGUUUUAGGUGAAAUGCCCAGGCUUAACCUGGGAGCUGCCUGAAAAACUGUUGGGAUUGAGUACAGACGAGGUAGGCGGAAUUGACGGUGUAGCGGUGAAAUGCAUAGAUAUCGUCAGGAACACCGAUAGCGAAGGCAGCUUACUAGACUGUAACUGACGCUGAGGCACGAAAGUGUGGGGAUCAAACAGG
rnacentral:rRNA from 1 species